AACGAACGCUGGCGGCAUGCCUAACACAUGCAAGUCGAACGAGACCUUCGUGUCUACUGGCUCACGGGUGCGUAACGUGUCGGAAGGUGCCGUUAUGCUCCGAAUACCACUCUUAAAGGGGGGCUAACACCGGGAAACUUCCGCGAAUCCCAGAUUCAUCCCCUUUGUGUGGGCCCGCGUUGUAUUAGCUUGUUGGUAGGGUAAGAGCCUACCAAGGCUACGAUCGAUAGCUGGGCAGAGAGGAUGCGCAGCCACACUGCGACGGGGACACGGCCCGGACUCCUACGGGAGGCAGCAGUGGGGAAUAUUGGACAAUGGGCGAAAGCCUGAUCCAGCAAUGCCGCGUGAGUGAUGAAGGCCUUAGGGUUGUAAAGCUCUUUUACCCGGGAUGAUAAUGACAGUACCGGAAGAAUAAGCUCCGGCUAACUCCGUG
rnacentral:rRNA from 1 species